rnacentral:rRNA from 1 species
GACGAACGCUGGCGGCGUGCUUAACACAUGCAAGUCGAACGAAGAGCGACGGAAGCUUGCUUCUAUCACUCUUAGUGGCGAACGGGUGAGUAACGCGUAAUCAACCUGCCCUUCAGAGGGGGACAACAGUUGGAAACGACUGCUAAUACCGCAUACGAUCUAAUCUCGGCAUCGAGGAUGGAUGAAAGGUGGCCUCUACAUGUAAGCUAUCACUGAAGGAGGGGAUUGCGUCUGAUUAGCUAGUUGGAGGGGUAACGGCCCACCAAGGCGAUGAUCAGUAGCCGGUCUGAGAGGAUGAACGGCCACAUUGGGACUGAGACACGGCCCAGACUCCUACGGGAGGCAGCAGUGGGGAAUCUUCCGCAAUGGACGAAAGUCUGACGGAGCAACGCCGCGUGAGUGAUGACGGCCUUCGGGUUGUAAAGCUCUGUUAAUCGGGACGAAAGGCCUUCUUGCGAAUAGUGAGAAGGAUUGACGGUACCGGAAUAGAAAGCCACGGCUAACUACGU